rnacentral:misc_RNA from 1 species
GAAAUGCGAUAAGUAAUGUGAAUUGCAGAAUUCAGUGAAUCAUCGAAUCUUUGAACGCACAUUGCGCCCCCUGGUAUUCCGGGGGGCAUGCCUGUUCGAGCGUCAUUUCACUACUCAAGCCUCGCUUGGUAUUGGGCAACGCGGUCCGCCGCGUGCCUCAAAUCGACCGGCUGGGUCUUCUGUCCCCUAAGCGUUGUGGAAACUAUUCGCUAAAGGGUGUUCGGGAGGCUACGCCGUAAAACAACCCCAUUUCUAAGGUUGACCUCGGAUCAGGUAGGGAUACCCGCUGAACUUAAGC